ACCAGUUUCCACCUCCAGCUACAGCUCCAGGUAGCGCUCAGGAGACCGUUCAGUUGGUACAGAGAAUUGUAACUUUUUAUGCCGUGAAACGGUAAACAAUUCCUGGACAAAACAUCAUAUCAAAGAAAGCGACUCUCGGAGGUUUCAAUUUUCUAAGAGAGUAUUAGAGAAAAAGCAAGUAUGGUCAUAUAUGAACUUUUGCUUCCAUUAGUUCUAAAGUUUCUACUAAUAUGGAAGCAUGAGUUAACAGCUCGGAUCGACAUGCCUGCUGAAAAGGAAAUAAAAUUCAAACGAAGGGUAGUUUAAUCUUUUAGGUUGGGUGACUGUACGUGUCUUUUAAUCAGAACCGCCACGUUACGGUCUAAUCCAUCUUGUCGGUGCUUCUUCCGUAGUCUCAAAACCUACUUUUUACUCUUGAAGCUCUAAGCAGCAAAGUUUCCUCUUGAGCUAACUCUUCCCAGCAACAUGCUAUCUUUCUCCCACUCUUAUUAAAUCCAAUUGCAUUAGACUCAAUCCCUAUUUUGAUAUAUCGCAAUUUUUACAAGGAACGGAAUACGCUUGUUCUAGCAUCCACAUAAGUUCGAUUUUGCGUGUUGGGUUUCCAUGAAAUUUUGGUGAUUUUGAGGUUUUGAUUUGUGGGCCUGCUCAGAGGUAUGUUUUAUCCAUCAACCUCAAAGUUGCUUUAUUUUUUUGACUUAAUUGUUGGGUUUUCACGAAUUGGGUUAUUUUGGGGUUCUGACUGGUGGGUGAACUUAUUUAAGGUAAUUUGAUUCAUCACCCUCAAAUAUCCUUUUCUUUGUUUGAUUUUAUGUUAUGUUUCCACAAAAAUAUGGUGAAUUAAGAAAUACUCAUCCUACGUCCAAGCUUCAAUUACGAGCAAGGUAACAGUUAUUGAUUCUUCUUAAGCAUUCUUAUUCUCAUUCUUUCACUUUAAUAUUUUGCUAUUUUAGUUGUAUUGGUGAUUAACUGAUUAUUAUUUUCCAUUUUCUUACUUUAUCACUUCUUUUAUGACUUCCGAGCCAAGUAAAUCUUAGACUAAUUUGUCAAAGGGCUAAAUAGACCUUGGAUUUUCAGACCGCUGAUUGAAAUUUUUUUAUGUGAAAAUUCGCAAGGGCUAGUACUGAUAUUCGCAAGUUGCUACUGAUAAAUCAACAAAUCUUACCUAAAGUAAGAAUGUUGCUUUUAUAAUCGAAAAAACAGAGGAAACAAAUGAAUUUGGUAGAAAGAAACACUGAAUAUAAUCAAGCAAACUACCAUAUGUGUUCCAUUGAAAGCCUAUAUUCAAUAUUUGUUAGAUUACUCAUUUAUGUUAACAAGGGAUUCAACUAUAUAGAAAGGCAGAAACAAUCCAUAGAAAACUAAUCUAUCGACCUUUUUUUUUUUUGAUGACAUGGGAACCCGCAGCCGCUACCCUUCGGGUGGGCACAGGGUAAACCCAACUCCUGUGCAAUAGCUAAUCUAUCGACUUCUUCCUCAGGAAAAAUAAAACAUCUAUUCAGAUAUGACUUUUUUCUUCAAAUCAAUGUUCCAUAGUCUUUUUAAAUACAUUCUUACUAUUUUCUCAUAGGUGUAGAACGACGGUUCUUGGUGCUAGCAGCGAACAGAGCUAAUGAACGCAUAGUUUCUCUUUUGGACCAUCUUAGAAUAAUGUGGUCAAUUUACUUCACAUUGGUAUAUGAAAUACAUCAUAAAAAGCUAAUCAUGUCAGACAAUUGAAGAAACAAAUGGGUUUUUUUCAAUUUAUACUUUUGGUGCUACGAUAGUUUACAUGUGCAACAUAUCAUCACAAAUUGGGAUGACGUUUGUAUGGCGUAGCUUUUUAUGUCUUUUUUCAGUUGGAUAAGCAUUUUAGUUAGAAAGCCUGAUAGCUAGACAAGGUAUAAUCUCUUGACUGUCUCUCAUGUAUUAUUGAUGGAAGUGUUUAUGCAUGUUUGUUAUCACCUUGGAAAUGCAACAACACGACUGCGGGAUUUGUACGCGGAAGUGCAAUAUAACAUCUGCUACAACAUGGCUGAUGACAGUCUCUUGCUAUUGAGCGACCUUUGUGACACUGCUUAUCAUAACUUAUGGUGUUGGCCUUGGUACUAUGUAGUUGUGGUACAGGUACCGUCAAGCUUAAUUUUAUGUUUUCAAACUGCAAAUCAAUGGCAAAGAAGAAUAAAAAAGAAGGUUUCCUUAGAUACCUUCUCAAAUAAUGAAUCUGAAUUAAUUUUGGAGUUAGGACAUGCCUUCUUUACAAUAUUUAAAUUCUUAUGCCAGUAACACUGUCAUUUUGCACUAUCUUGACUUAAUUGUCGUUGCGGGACUAAACCUGGAAGAUGUUGUCCGAAGAGUAGUCACAUGGACUUUAGAAUGAGGAACCGAGUUUGAAGAAUCAUAGUCACCUAGACUUCUUUCAGCUUUUACUUCCAACUUUAUGUAAAACAAACUUAAAGAGUUCAACGUAGAAGUUGUAGAGAAAUUGAAUCUGUUGUUGUUGUUUGUAUGCUAGAGGUGGUGGAGUUCCUGUAACUUUUAACUUGCUUGGCGGUAAAGUUAAGUGUGGUGAAUGAAUAUAUAUACAAUUCCUUGAA